rnacentral:rRNA from 1 species
AUUGAACGCUGGCGGCAGGCCUAACACAUGCAAGUCGAACGAGUGGCGCACGGGUGAGUAAUGUCUGGGAAACUGCCUGAUGGAGGGGGAUAACUACGGAAAACGGUCGAUAAUACCGCAUACCCUGAGAUGUCCCCAGAUGGGAUUGGCUUGUUGGUGGGGUAACGGCUCACCAAGGCGACGAUCCCUAGCUGGUCUGAGAGGAUGAUCAGCCACACUGGAACUGAGACACGGUCCAGACUCCUACGGGAGGCAGCAGUGGGGAAUAUUGCACAAUGGGCGCAAGCCUGAUGCAGCCAUGCCGCGUGUAUGAAGAAGGCCGUCGGGUUGUAAAGUACUUUCAGCGGGGAGGCGUUACCCGCAGAAGAAGCACCGGCUAACUCCGUGCCAGCCGCCGCGGUAAUAC